rnacentral:rRNA from 1 species
GAUGAACGCUGGCGGCGUGCUUAACACAUGCAAGUCGAACGAUGAAGCCCAGCUUGCUGGGUGGAUUAGUGGCGAACGGGUGAGUAACACGUGAGUAACCUGCCCUUAACUCUGGGAUAAGCCUGGGAAACUGGGUCUAAUACCGGAUAGGAGCGCCUACCGCAUGGUGGUUGUUGGAAAGAUUUAUCGGUUUUGGAUGGACUCGCGGCCUAUCAGCUUGUUGGUGAGGUAAUGUCUCACCAAGGCGACGACGGGUAUCCGGCCUGAGAGGGUGACCGGCCACACUGGGACUGAGACACGGCCCAGACUCCUACGGGAGGCAGCAGUGGGGAAUAUUGCACAAUGGGCGAAAGCCUGAUGCAGCGACGCCGCGUGAGGGAUGACGGCCUUCGGGUUGUAAACCUCUUUCAGUAGGGAAGAAGCGAAAGUGACGGUACCUGCAGAAGAAGCACCGGCUAACUACGUG